rnacentral:misc_RNA from 1 species
UAAAUAACACGUUUGCAGACACGCUGAUCGUUACGCAAAUAGGGUUCGAGUACGUGUACAUAACGUGGCUACGUUACGUGCGUUGACAAUUUCUUAUCAAACCGGUUUGACUGGAUAUAAUAAUUUUUCCUUUCCGCAGGUGACUGUUAUAUUCGCACUGGUAUCCGUCAGCGGAACUACGUAAAGGAGGGGACGUUACCGCAUGACUAAUAAUUGAUAUGAAACUUUCGUGCGACAAAAACGAAAUUUAUUGCAGCCCAGAUGAAAAGGAAACGACAGGCGAGCAAUCGGUGGCGAACGAUUUGGCGAUUCUCUGGCCGGGUGUUUCAUAAGAUGAAAGAAAAAACACUCAAUUCCGUACAUAAAGAUGCAUUCUCAAGCUCGGAAAUGUGCAAUAAUCGUUUCGGACGACUCAACGCAGCAGGAUUUCUCUUUGGUUGAGUUUACAUAAUUACGAAAGGUUCUCAACAGCGCAGUCUGAAUUCACAUUCAGAUAUUUCAUCCUAUAUUACAUAG